rnacentral:rRNA from 1 species
UACGUAGGGGGCGAGCGUUGUCCGGAUUUAUUGGGCGUAAAGAGCUCGUAGGCGGUUUGGUAAGUCGGGUGUGAAAUCUCCACGCUCAACGUGGAGGGGCCACUCGAUACUGCCAUGACUCGAGUCCGGUAGAGGAGUGUGGAAUUCCCGGUGUAGCGGUGAAAUGCGCAGAUAUCGGGAGGAACAUCAGUGGCGAAAGCGACUUCCUGGACCAGUACCGACGUUCAGGCACGAAAGCGUGGGGAGCAAACAGG